rnacentral:sRNA from 1 species
ACAAUGAUUCAGUAGCAGAACAAAGAGGUUUUGGCUCCCAGUCAGUUCCUCAUCACAGUCCCAAUAAAAGGCCUGGCCGGGUACAGGGAGGCCAGGGAGCAGCACUGGCGGUACUACACCCUGCAGGGCACCAGGCUGCCCUGCCCAUUGCGGGACCCUGAGGGUCUGCAGCAGUGGCUGGAGGUGGAACAGUUUAUGAAGAGCCUGUGGCAGUGGCAUGAGACAGAUGUGAACAUCGACGGAGACAUUGUGCCUGCCAAGGUCCUCCUAGUGUUCCGGAAGCUGGUGGAAAAUGCAAUUAGAACCUGUCACCUCUCAGGUAAGGUCAGCCUGCUAGGAAACCGCUCUGCAGUUUGGGUUGCUGUGGAAACAUCUGCAUAUCAGGUGGAACUGGAGCUGGUCCCCACAGUGGAGAUCCCCACCACCUGGUCCAAGAAAGCCCGGUGGCCUCGAUGUCUGCAGCGCUGGCCUUCCCAAGAGAGAGUGGAGUGCAUCAAGUCGUUUGGGUUUAACUUGUUGGCCUGUUCAAAUUAUCACUGGCAGCUGAGCUUCCUCCGUGCUGAGCAGGUGUUACUGGAACAGCUGGAUGAAGAUGGGGGCU